rnacentral:rRNA from 1 species
UACGUAGGGGGCAAGCGUUGUCCGGAUUUAUUGGGCGUAAAGAGCGUGUAGGCGGUUUGGUAGGUCCGCUGUGAAAACUCGAGGCUCAACCUCGAGACGCCGGUGGAAACCAUCAGACUAGAGUCCGGAAGAGGAGAGCGGAAUUCCUGGUGUAGCGGUGAAAUGCGCAGAUAUCAGGAAGAACACCGGUGGCGAAGGCGGGUCUCUGGGCAAUAACUGACGCUGAGGAGCGAAAGCGUGGGGAGCGAACAGG